GAAACUCCGUCUCAAAAAAAAAAAUCAUAAUUAUUUCAGAUUUGUGAAUGCAGCUCAAUCACCAAUCACUUGGAACAUCAGGUAGAUAAGUAUUUAAUGAUUUGUAAACAACCCUUUGAGAAGAUGUCACUUUUAAGUGGAUCUUUGGGAUCCUCUUGUAAUAUAAGUGAUUCGUGAAUAAUUGCAAGCAAUACAAGCCUGUGAAUAUUUGCAAGCAAUAUAUUCAGAUGACAGUGUUAAGCAUUUCAUUCAAUAACACAGAAGGUUCCCCAUGGUGCAGGCCGUAUGAAGAGAUUCACCUCUCUGGCUUCCAGUUGGCCUGUAUUUUUGUGAAGUUUGUUCAAAACCCUUGUGUGUGUUGACCUUUCUCUCCUCCUGCUGCUCCAUAAAAUAGAAAAUAAAAUGUAUAGAGCAUAUGUUUUUCUUUAGAAUGGUAAGUAUGAGAUGGCAGUGGAGGAAGCAGGGACACUAAUUCCACGGGCGUCCUGGAGGAGCUUAGGAUCUCUUUGAGAAGAUGACACGCAAACAUGAAGGAAUCAAAGCAGGGAGAGUUGAAACGCGAUGGCAGCUUGCAAGGAGAAUCGUCAAAGGGGACAACUGAAAAAGCGUUAAGAGACAUGACGUGCUGCUUCCCCUGGAUGUUAAAAUUGAGAACAGAGAGCAGCACACGGCAAUUCUGGAGAUAGGGAGGCUGGAGUGGGGGCUGUUUAUAGGCAUAGUGUAUGGGGGAUGCUGGAGGCCCUUCCUACCCAGCUACCCCUGCAGGCUGGCCUGGCUCGCCGAGAGAGAGGUGUGGGAGGGGAACAUUUACAGAACCAAGUUCUUAGAGGAAGAAAGAAAACCAAGGGAAAAAGGGCAAACACAUGGGAAAGCAGGAAAGAAAGAGAAAAGGAGUCAUCAGCCGGAGCCAGAGGCUGCAGUCGCGGAGUGAAGAAGCAAUCAAGGAGGCACAGGGCUGCGUGGACGCAGACCCUAAACACUGGCAGCAGGGGGCGCUGGAGAGACCACUCUAGUUCUCUGAUUCAUAUCUCCCUUCCUUUUCUGGACAGAUGCCCUGACCUUCCGGGAAACCCUCGGUGAGAGGCCCACAGCCUCGCUUCUAGGGUCACCACUGCUUCUUCCAGUCUAGCCAAACAGCUCCUAGUACAGCUCAGAGCACCCUGCAAGGAGGGCACGUGUUAAAUCGAGGAGCACACAUGCUCCACGAGGAAUUCUUUGCUUUGAGGCCAUGCACAGAGGUGGGUUCACUAUGAAGCUUGUGAAAUAAGCUUCAGGGCCCGCAUUUGCAUGGGCCACAGAGAGUCUGGGAGCUGCAGAAGGUUCAAGGGAAGAGGAGCCAUCACAAGCAGAAUAUUCUAGAAGGCAUUUCUGGCAAAUGGCCCAAAGAGGCCUCAGGAGAAAAGAACUUGAGUCUUCAAGGAUGCAAUGAGAAGGCACCAUCUGUGAGGAACAGGCCUCCGACAGACACCGAAUUUGCUGGCACUUUGAUCUUGGACUUCCCAGCCUCCAAAAUUAUCCAUAAUGGAUUCCUGGGACAUUUUCAGAUCUCCUUCCAGCUUCCUCUUCGCCCUUUCCAAGUCCGCCCGCAGUUUCUUCUCCUGCUCUAAGGAACCCUCAAGCUGAGAAGACACACAGAGACAAGGGCUUGCUCUGUUGCCCAAGCUAAAGUGCAGUGGUGUGAGUGUAGCCCACUGCAUCCUCACACUCCUGUGCUCAAGUGAUCCUCCCACCUCAGCCUCCCAAGUAGCUGGAACUACAAG
rnacentral:lncRNA from 1 species